AAGUCGUAACAAGGUUUCCGUAGGUGAACCUGCGGAAGGAUCAUUGUCGUGACCCUGACCAAAACAGACCGUGAACGCGUUAUCUUGCCUGCCAGCGGCGGCUAUGCCGUCGCUUGGCCAAACUCCUCGAGAAAACCCAGCUCCUUGGAGCAGGGGCUCGGGGUAAAAGAACCCACGGCGCCGAAGGCGUCAAGGAACACUGUGCCUAACUCGGGAGGCGGUUGGCUUGCUAGCCGCCCCUCGUGUUGCAAUGCUAUUUAAUCCACACGACUCUCGGCAACGGAUAUCUCGGCUCUC
rnacentral:misc_RNA from 1 species